rnacentral:rRNA from 1 species
AAAACAUGCAAGUCGAGCGAGGCAUUUAUACCUAGCGGCGGACGGGUGAGUAACACGUGGGUAACCUGCCUCAGAGAGGGGAAUAGCCUUCCGAAAGGAAGAUUAAUACCGCAUAAUAUAUACUUCUUAGCAUUAUGAGUAUAUCAAAGGAGAAAUCCGCUUUGAGAUGGGCCCGCGGCGCAUUAGCUAGUUGGAGAGGUAACGGCUCACCAAGGCGACGAUGCGUAGCCGACCUGAGAGGGUGAUCGGCCACAUUGGAACUGAGACACGGCCCAGACUCCUACGGGGGGCAGCAAUUAGGAAUCUUGCGCAAUGGGGGAAACCCUGACGCAGCGACGCCGCGUGAAGGAUGACGGCCUUCGGGUUGUAAACUUCUUU